GUUAGUAGAUUAGCUUCUUGUUUUUCUUCUUUCUUUUCUUUUUCUUUUUGAUCAUAUUGUAUAUACAUUCUUCUGUUUGGAUUUUGUGCUCUUCUGGAACGUUUUUGUAAAAGAAUAUAUGCUAAAGUUGCUAUACCAUUAAUUUUCUUUGAAAUAGGAGACAAUUAUGGUAGGAUUCUGGAUUCUGGACAUUGCUUCCAUAAUGUUGGAAGUGAAUUCCUGAUCUGCAUUUUAUGUAUAAUACAUUGUUGCCUGAAUUGCCGAUUUGGUGAAAUAGGAAGAAGUUGGGAAAUAAACAUGAUUAGCUUUGUAGGAAAUGCAGGUGGUCAAAUGGGAGAUGGCCAUAAAGUUUUAGACAGGAUUGAUAUUGUUAAGCUAACAAAUGGAUUAAUUUUGAGCGCUGUUUGCUUUUGACAAGCAUAUGAUUAUAUUUCAGUUUAUUGGUUUAUGGGUUUGUAUUGAUUUCUUGGUUGGUCCAAAGAUUUUUUGUCCUUUCCUUAAAUAGACAACGUUGGAUGGGCUUCAAGUGCAUUGAUAGUUAAGUUUACAUCCUUUUUAUUGGAUUUUUUUUAAUUUAUUUUUAUUAGAAUUUUCAAUUAGCUUAUAGUGUCUAGUGAAACACCAAAACUUCUGCAUAACUAUAUCAAUUAUCUCAUGGGGUCUAGUGAAACAUUAAAGCUGAAAUAUACAAGUAAUUCUUCAGCAUACUGAACGUCUGAACUUGUUAAACUUCAAAGUUCCUUUUGGUUCUUUCACUUGAAAUUUCAUCCUCAAGGCUUCGAAAGAAUUACUUGUUUCAAGAUUCAUCUAGUCAAUUCAAAAGCAGAAGUAAUAUUUCAUUGUGUCUUUAUUCUGGAGAUUGGUUAUUCAAAAUGCACAAAUGCAUUCUCUGUUUUAAUUAUUGUUUUUCUUAUAAAAUCAACCAUUGGCUUUUUAUCUACCAUUUGUGCCUUCAAUACUUCAUUUCCUCUUAAAAGAUUGUGCCAUAGUGUGGUACUUUGCUCAGGGCCUAUUUCAGAUACCAUGAGGCAUUAUUAGCAGGAGAGCGUGAUGAAUUUAAUGGUUCAAAGAAUUAGACAUAAUUUGUUAACAACCCAGUUGUGGGGCAGAAGGGCGGGGGUGUCAUUCAUGUAAGCAAAGAGAUAAGUGAGAUGGUAAAUUUUAGCAGUAUGUAUACUUUUCUGAGAAUGUGAUGAGCUCAGAAAAAGUUCCCUGUCCCCUCCUCCCCUUUCCCCUUGUUUUUGUCUUGUUCGGUUCAUUAUUGCCAUUUAGUAGAGCUGUUAUAGUUAUAGAUAUUAGAUAGUCACUUUUAGACAAUGGUUAUGUCUAUUACAUAAGUGCAGUGGUAGAUGGUAAAAUAUGAGCUUGAGAGACCAAGAUUUCAGGUGAACACUUUGGGAGUCUUGUCCAAAAAGGGUGUAUUCUUGAAAUCAAUGCCUUGUUGAGUGUGAUUGGGCUGCCUCCUGACUAAUUUGAGAUUUUGGGUAGAAAGCUUAUUGGUUACUUCUAGAGGGGGGGAAGCACAAGAAGAAGAUUUUUCAAAAUAUUAUAUGAUGUUAACAUAAAGACCUUGAUCUGGGCAUCACUAAUUAAAAUAUUUUUGUGAUCAGAAUUUAGCCGAUUCUGGAAAUUGGAAUAACUUGAUAGAGAUUAUAAUCUCUAAGCUUGAGUAAAGGAAGAAGCAGUUGAAACUAAGCAUCUUGAAAUGGCUACAGUUGUUUCCAUUAAUGGAUUUUUCCUAAUUUUUCUAAUGUAUAUUGAACAGAUAAUUUUGCUGCACUUGCUCCUUUUUAUCUACUUGUCAAUUGUGUAUUCAUUCAUUCGUGUUGAGUUCUAUUGCUGGGCUUCUAUGUGUGUGAUCUAAAGCUAGUACAAAUUUGGUAACCUGGUAUUUUUGUUGCAUGAUUACUGAUAAAGGUAGAGGUGGUGAAGUAAAAAAUUUAAGAUGUUACCCAUGUUUAUGUGGGUUAGAGAGAAGCACUGAACUCAUUUAGUAAAUAGGACCUUGUUGUUAAUAAUGGGAAAAAUAAAAUAGGAUAUAUUUUCCCAAUGAGCAGGGUGCCUGAAGCAGGCUAAAUUUCACUGUGCAAACUUUUUUUGUUACCAAAAGUAUGUACUGAGUGAAGAUGCUUUUACUAAGCUCUAUAUUCUGUUUCAAAGUUUAUGAUUUCCAUUUUUUUCCUGUAAUUAAAAAAAAAAUGUGUAUAUGUACUUAUAGAUAUUCUUUUCAUUUAUAUUUAGCUUUUUUUUGUGUUCAAAAUCACCAUAAGAAUAAAGCAUGUUCGUCUGUUGUGAAAUUUCUAACUUCAUUAUUCAAACAGAUGUGUUCUACUCGGAGUGAGUUGUGGUGCAAAUAUUGCAGACUAUGUUGCUCGAAAAGCUGUAGAGGCAGGCAAGCUAUUGGACCCAGUUAAGGUUGUAGCACAGGUUUUGAUGUAUCCAUUCUUCAUUGGGAGUGUCCCCACACAUUCUGAGAUAAAACUGGCAAAUUCCUACUUCUAUGAUAAGCAGAUGUGCAUGCUUGCAUGGAAACUCUUCCUUCCAGAGGAAGAGUUCAGCCUUGACCACCCAGCUGCCAACCCCCUUGUCCCAGGCAGGGGGCCUCCUUUAAAGCACAUGCCCCCAACAUUGACAGUGGUGGCUGAACAUGACUGGAUGAGAGACCGAGCCAUUGCUUACUCUGAGGAGCUUAGGAAGGUGAAUGUCGACGCACCAGUUCUUGAAUACAAGGAUGCUGUUCAUGAAUUUGCAACUCUUGACAUGCUUCUGAAGACCCCACAGGCUCAGGCUUGUGCUGAGGACAUUGCCAUCUGGGUCAAGAAGUACAUUUCACUUCGAGGGCAUGAGUUCUCUUAUUAACGGGAUAGCAUGUCAACAAAAAGCUUGCAGCAAGAGAAUCAUUUGCCUGUGUUACGUUACACAGUGAGAGAGCACUGAGCUGCACAAUUACUUGGGGUUGUAUAAUGACGGGGUUCUAUAAUUAUUUCAUUGGUUGUUUUUUGGGUAAAGUAGCCGCCUGGUUGUUCUCACUUUUUUGGGUUUACAACUUGUCCUGUCAAGUUCCUGUUUUGUAAGAUAUAGAACCUUUUUCUGGGAUUAGGUUUUAGGACUUUGUGAGAUGAAAUUACAUCCUGUUCGAGUUUGUGCCACAUUAGGACAAUCUCGAUGGAAUUUUCCCCCCUCCGUGUAUUAAAAUGUAGUAUUGCUCAUGAAAAGAGUUAAUGGA
rnacentral:misc_RNA from 1 species